rnacentral:rRNA from 1 species
AUUGAACGCUGGCGGAAUGCUUUACACAUGCAAGUCGAACGGCAGCACGGGUGCUUGCACCUGGUGGCGAGUGGCGAACGGGUGAGUAAUGCACCGGAACGUAUCCAAUAAUGGGGGAUAACGCACCGAAAGGUGUGCUAAUACCGCAUACGCCCUGAGGGGGAAAGCGGGGGAGUCGUAAGACCUCGCGUUAAUGGAGCGGCCGAUGCCGGAUUAGCUAGUUGGUGAGGUAAAGGCUCACCAAGGCGACGAUCCGUAGCUGGUCUGAGAGGACGACCAGCCACACUGGAACUGAGACACGGUCCAGACUCCUACGGGAGGCAGCAGUGGGGAAUUUUGGACAAUGGGCGCAACCCUGAUCCAGCCAU